AACCGAACUAUUUAUAAGUCUUGUAGUGGCCAUCACGAAUUGUUUAGUACAUGACUAUAGAGACAUGUCAAAGGCGGAUCUAGACAUUUUUCAAAGGGCAGUUUUUAACCCGGUAUAAAUUGGGGUUCAAACUAAAUGUCCCCAUUCAAAUUCAUUGAUCGCCAAAAAGGGGGUUCCUUCCCCCAAAACUCCUCCCUUUGAGUCCACCACUGCAUGUUAACUCUGUCAUACAGAUUGAUUGACAUGAAGCC
rnacentral:lncRNA from 1 species